GGAAUGUUUUCUAACCCUAAAGUAACAUUCACCCCUUAGCCGCCGCCCUCCCUUCCCCUCCCUUCUCUGCAUAUCUCAUUCUCUCUCAUUUUACUCUUUUUUUUCUCUCGUCCCUCUACUCUCUGCUCUGUUUUGAUUUUUCUCCUUUCCCUCUACUAUCUGCUCUGAUUUGAUCUUAUGGAUUUGGUUCCUUUGGGUUUUCUUCGGAUCUUAGUUCUCCUAUUGAGUCUGUGGUUGGCUCUACUAACAGCCAAAUAGAGGACUAUCAGAUCCACCAAGAAAACCCCCUCCAUUCUCUAUUCCGUCAAAAAAUCUCAUCUCUGACGUUAGUCUCCACCAACAGGACUGCUUGCUUACCAAAAGUUGCAGGCAUCUCAAAUAAUUUGUCAAACGCAUCUGAGAUGACAAAUGAUGCAGCAGUAGGGUGUUUGGUGAGGGCAAAACAACAUUUUGGGACUGGAGUAUUGUUUUCUCAAAAGCCACAUUAGACCUGGCCAGUGAUCCAAAACAGAGGGAGGAAUAUUACUAGUGUUGGUAGAGGACCAUUGGGUUUGAACCGGUUUGGAAGGGGAAAAAACCGAACCGAACCGAACCGAAAUUAUUCGGUUUGAACCGGUUUUCGGUUCGGUUCGGUUCAAAAAAUUAAAAAAAAAAAUAAUUCGGUUUGGUUGUUUAUUUUGGUUCAAAACCGGACCGAACCGGAAAUGCUCAGCCCUACUUGAUAUAUCUUAAUUACAGCUAGAGUUGUUUCUUGAGUAGAGGUGAAUUGUCCCUUGGCUUGUUCAGCAAAUUAAAUCCUUCUUGACUUGGGAAUAGUGGAGUCAAUCAAUUGUUAAUUUACUACAAUUUGUCAGGUUUAAUUUUCAAACAAUUUGAGACUUUUAUGACACUGGUCGAAUUUAAAUCCGUCUAA